GAUCGCGGGUGUUUUUCAAAGAGGAUUAAAAGGCAAAUAUAACAAUAAUUCUUGUUUAAUAUGCAUAAAUAAUGUUGUAUAAUGUUAUAACUCUUGCAUAAAACUUAUUUGGGUUAUUUUAGUGCGAUGAUCGAUGAUGUAAUUGAGCGUUUGUGUGGGGUUCGCCUAAACACUUUAUAUUAAGUAAAAACAAUAAACGAGAUUACCCAAACUCUUCACAACUUUAUUAAACAGCAUAACCUUCAGCCAGAAGUCACCGACACUUUAGCACCCCCAAGUGCGCAUGUCCCUUACCUAUCUAAGGCAAGCCCCGAGGGGAAAAAUGGAUUACACACAUAAUGAGCACCAGUCGAUCCAGAAUUAGUACAGCAUAACAAAAUUCAAUAAAGUCUGUUACAAUGAUAUUGAAGUGGAUGAUAGUCGAUUGUGGAUCCAGUAGCACCUGAUGUGAUUGAUUAAUUGUGUUGAAACCCCCAGAUUCGACACAAAGUUGUGGAGCAGAAUGGAGAGGAGAUGGUUAGUGGGCUGUGAACAUGAAGUGACCUCGCUGUAGCAAUGAAACAGUAAACACUGCAGGCAGACAAAGGAAAGUGGCUGAGUUUAAACCUGAACCUGUUCUGCGGCUGAUGAAGCAUUGUUAUUAUCAUCAUCAUCAUUAACGUCUUCAUCUUCAUCAUCAUCAUCUCUGGUAAUCAGCCAAUCACAGAACUCUAGAUUUACGAAGAAGUUUCAGAAGCCAGUAUGAUGUACGUGGUGAUUACAACGCCCAACUUUCUUGACAUGACAUCAACUGCUUUAUAGUUAUAAUAAAUAUUUUUUAAUCAAAGUGUGUUGCUAUAACCUCCAUAUUCAGCACUGACCAGGAUGCCAUGACUCUCUACUCAUAUCAGCUCCAUCAAGUCUAAAUUCUACUUUCAC